rnacentral:lncRNA from 1 species
GUAAGUUAAGAGAAUAUUUUUACUAGCAACUCAAAUGAAUAUUCUGAAGAGAAAAGAAUUGUUCACUGCAUAAAUCACAAUAGCAAAGAAAGGAAAAAUGGCUUGCAAAACAGGAAAGGUACUGCCUUAUUAACCUGGGAAAUCCAUUUCAUAUCUAACCCGUCUACUUUUUAAUUCUCUUUUGGAAAGGAUAUGAUUCAUAGUCCAGCGUUUGAGUGAGCACUCCAGUCAGAACGAACUCUGCAUUGUGAACAUCUGAACAGGGUGGAAACAGACACUUUAGUUAGAGAUCCACUGCUGUGCGUGCACACAUACUCACACAGGUAAGCGGGGAAACGUACCUAUGCCUCUGGCAAAAUAUUCUCGGCAUAAAUGAAGGUCAUUUUCACAGGAUAUUAAAAUUAUUUCCGACAAACUCUAAGGAAAAGAAAAUGAGUUUCUCAGUGACCGAACGCUGAAUGUGAUACAGGGCAAUGACGGACUCGCUGGCGGACUCCACUCUACCCACCGAGUUCUGCUUGUGCUCCAUGAGCUUCCGGAAAGAUGGCUGCUUGGAUAACACCUUUCCUCCUGCACACUCUACGAUUGCCUUCAUAGUGGAAAGACUUGGGCAGAUUCCAGGAGGAAGACCUCCAGUGGCAAUGUCCAAGAAGGAAGCCAAGAGGUAAAUGGGAUGCAGGGUGAGCCCAGCUCCCCUGGAGGCGCACUUCCCACCAAAUCACCUGGUAGUUCCCUUGAGCAGGUCCGUGUGUUAUGCUUACUUGGACUGAUUUACUUUUCCCUUAAAGUGUACCUUAAAGAGUGGAGAAACGUGUGCCCGUUUUAAGGAUUCUUCCAAGCUGAAAGAGAAAAGUACUUCUGCCUCAGCAUCUCGGAGAAUGUAGUUCUGCUCAUCUGGAAAACAGAACAGCACAUACUCUGAAAAGUGUGGACACGUGAAGUGUGGCAAGUGUGACCCACAAAAUUCUCGCCCAUAUUCAGGUACAUAAUAUUACAGCUACAUUUACCUGUACAGCCUUCGG